GACGAACGCUGGCGGCGUGCUUAACACAUGCAAGUCGAACGGUGAAGGGACCGGUUUUUGCUGGUUCUGGAUGAGUGGCGAACGGGUGAGUAACACGUGAGUAACCUGCCCCCUUCUUCUGGAUAACCGCAUGAAAGUGUGGCUAAUACGGGAUAUUCUGCGCCUGCUGCAUGGUGGGUGUGGGAAAGAUAUUGUUUCGGUGGGGGAUGGGCUCGCGGCCUAUCAGCUUGUUGGUGGGGUGAUGGCCUACCAAGGCGGGGACGGGUAGCCGGCCUGAGAGGGUGGAACGGCACACUGGGGAUGGGACACCGGCCAGACUCCUACGGGAGGCAGCAGGGGGGAAUAUGGCACAAUGGGCGCAAGGCUGAUGCAGCGACGCCGCGGGAGGGAUGGAGGCCUUCGGGUUGUAAACCUCUUUCGCCAGUGAAGCAGGCCUGUCCCUUUUGUGGGUGGGUUGACGGUAGCUGGAUAAGAAGCGCCGGCUAACUACGUG
rnacentral:rRNA from 1 species